rnacentral:rRNA from 1 species
UACGAAGGGGGGCUAGCGUUGCUCGGAAUGACUGGGCGUAAAGGGCGCGUAGGCGGAUGGUACAGUCAGAUGUGAAAUUCCCCGGGCUUAACCUGGGGGCUGCAUUUGAUACGUAUUGUCUUGAGUUCGGAAGAGGGUCGUGGAAUUUCCAGUGUAGAGGUGAAAUUCGUAGAUAUUGGAAAGAACACCGGUGGCGAAGGCGGCGACCUGGUCCGACACUGACGCUGAGGCGCGAAAGCGUGGGGAGCAAACAGG